AUCAUCAUUUAACGUCUGUGUUCCAUGCUAGCAUGGGUGGGAUGGUACCAUAAGAGCCAGCCAAGGAAGAAGCCUACACCAGACUACUGUGACUGUUUUGGUAGGAUUUUUAUAGCUGGAUGCCCUUCCUAACACCAACCACUCAGCAGAGGACUGAGUGCUUUUUAUGUGCCA